GAUGAACGCUGGCGGCGUGCCUAAUACAUGCCAGUCGAGCGAACAGACGAGGAGCUUGCUCCUCUGACGUUAGCGGCGGACGGGUGAGUAACACGUGGAUAACCUACCUAUAAGACUGGGAUAACUUCGGGAAACCGGAGCUAAUACCGGAUAAUAUAUUGAACCGCAUGGUUCAAUAGUGAAAGACGGUUUUGCUGUCACUUAUAGAAGGAUCCGCGCCGCAUUAGCUAGUUGGUAAGGUAACGGCUUACCAAGGCAACGAUGCGUAGCCGACCUGAGAGGGUGAUCGGCCACACUGGAACUGAGACACGGUCCAGACUCCUACGGGAGGCAGCAGUAGGGAAUCUUCCGCAAUGGGCGAAAGCCUGACGGAGCAACGCCGCGUGAGUGAUGAAGGUCUUCGGAUCGUAAAACUCUGUUAUUAGGGAAGAACAAAUGUGUAAGUAACUAUGCACGUCUUGACGGUACCUAAUCAGAAAGCCACGGCUAACUACGUG
rnacentral:rRNA from 1 species